UCAGUUAGUCUACAACUUGUUAUAUAUAUAUAUAAAUAACUGUAGUAUUUUAGCUUAGUUUAGUAACACAUAAAAGUAGUGGGCGCAGCAGAAACUUAUAAAGGCUUAUAUGAAAACCACCGGGAACGCCCCAAAAUACUUAUAUAUUUAAAUGCAUAUUGCACCGCCAGCAUCGCUGUUUCUUCGCUCGCCGCUUUUAAAUCUCCCGGUAGACCAGUGACCGCAAGGCUUUAUGGGUACAUGGGGAGCGUGGAGGAUACAUACAGUGGUGUUCAAAAUAAUAGCAGUCCAAUGUGACUAACCAGAUUAAUCCAGGUUUUUAGUAUAUUUUUAUUGCUACAUGGCAAACAAGGUACCAGUAGGUGCAGUACAUUCUCAGAAAACCAACAAGACCCAGCAUUGGUGAUAUGCAGCUCUUAAGGCUGUGACAUUGGGCAAUUUGUUGAAAGGGGCGUGUUCAAAAAAAUAGCAGUGUCUGCCGUUGACUUUACAAACUCAAAACUUCAGAUUUUUUUUUUCUUAAAAUUCUUCAGAUUCAGCCGUUUGAGGAUCCUUCAAUGACUUUGGGAUACAGCCAGGGUUUCUGGAAAGUGUUGACAUGUUUGGCUGAGCUACUGUCCUUAAGAGGGUGAUUCUGUGCAAAUGAGGAGAGGUUGUGAUCUGUGGAUUGGUGGUUUACCUCGGAGAAAAGGAGGAGAAUCUCUUUAAAGAGCAUUUGGUUGAUGGAGAUCUCACCACUGAAGUGUUGAAGAUCAUUGUAACCAGAGGUGCCACGUCUGAUCCAGCCAGCGCACAGAUUGUGAUUGAGGGAACAGAAGACCUGAAAGAUGUAGACGUACCCA